GACGAACGCUGGCGGCGUGCUUAACACAUGCAAGUCGAACGAAGUGGCGAACGGGUGAGUAACGCGUAAACAACCUGCCCUUCUAAGGGGGACAACAGUUGGAAACGACUGCUAAUACGCCAUACUGAAGGAGGGGAUUGCGUCUGAUUAGCUCGUUGGAGGGGUAACGGCCCACCAAGGCGAUGAUCAGUAGCCGGUCGGGGAGGAUUGACGGGCAAAUUGGGACUGGUACACGGCCCAGACUCCUACGGGAGGAAGCAGUGGGGAAUCUUCCGCAAUGGAAGAAAGUCUGACGGGGCAACGCCGCGUGAGUGAUGACGGCCUUCGGGUUGUAAAGCUCUGUUAAUCGGGACGCGGUACCGGAAUAGAAAGCCACGGCUAACUACGUGCCAGCAGCCGCGGUAAUUC
rnacentral:rRNA from 1 species